CGCUCAGAAUUUAGAACAGCACCUGGCAUAUGGGUCUCACUCUUUUGCCCAGGCUGGAGUGCAUGGGCGCAAUCUUGGCUCACUGCAGCAUCGACCUCCCAGACUGAAUCGCUCCUCCCACCUCAGCCUCAGGAGUAGCUGGGACUACAGGCGCAUGUCACCAUGCCAGGCUAAGUUUUGUGUUUUUGGUAGAGACAGGGUUUCACCAUGUUGCUCAGGCUAGUCUCAAACUCCUGGGCUCAAGCAAUCUGCCCGCCGCAGCUUCCCGAAGUGCUGGGAUUCCAUGUGUGAGCCAUCGCUCUCAGCCUGAUAAUUUUCUUAAAAUUGCCAGUGCUACUGUAAGAGACAUAGUUAAGUUUAUAUUAAAAGGAAAACCAAGGUAUUGCUUAGUUGUCAUAAAGUUGUGUGAAGAUUAAGUGAAAUAUGUUAGUGGUUUUCUCACAGAGUAUACACACAGAGAGUUACACUUUACACAGAAAUCUAUAUAUCCCACAAGUAAACUGAUUUUAAGGGAAUCAUUUUCUAGUUUCCCAAUUUCCAUAUGUAUGAUGUCUUAAAUUUUGUAUGCCUGAGAAACAAUGCAAUCAAGGCAUCCCGCUGGUUCUUCUGUCUCAACUCCUCUGUUUCAACAGUCUUUCCCUUACUUUCGAAAAAAAGCAUAUUUUUCAUUGAUCUCAAAUAUUACAAUAACAUAUACAUAGAAUAUAAAAAUUUGGGGAUACCA
rnacentral:lncRNA from 1 species